AGGGAAAGGCGAAAAGAACCCCGGCGAGGGGAGUGAAAAAGAACCUGAAACCGUGUACGUACAAGCAGUGGGAGCACGCUUAGGCGUGUGACUGCGUACCUUUUGUAUAAUGGGUCAGCGACUUAUAUUCUGUAGCAAGGUUAACCGAAUAGGGGAGCCGAAGGGAAACCGAGUCUUAACUGGGCGUUAAGUUGCAGGGUAUAGACCCGAAACCCGGUGAUCUAGCCAUGGGCAGGUUGAAGGUUGGGUAACACUAACUGGAGGACCGAACCGACUAAUGUUGAAAAAUUAGCGGAUGACUUGUGGCUGGGGGUGAAAGGCCAAUCAAACCGGGAGAUAGCUGGUUCUCCCCGAAAGCUAUUUAGGUAGCGCCUCGUGAAUUCAUCUCCGGGGGUAGAGCACUGUUUCGGCAAGGGGGUCAUCCCGACUUACCAACCCGAUGCAAACUGCGAAUACCGGAGAAUGUUAUCACGGGAGACACACGGCGGGUGCUAACGUCCGUCGUGAAGAGGGAAACAACCCAGACCGCCAGCUAAGGUCCCAAAGUCAUGGUUAAGUGGGAAACGAUGUGGGAAGGCCCAGACAGCCAGGAUGUUGGCUUAGAAGCAGCCAUCAUUUAAAGAAAGCGUAAUAGCUCACUGGUCGAGUCGGCCUGCGCGGAAGAUGUAACGGGGCUAAACCAUGCACCGAAGCUGCGGCAGCGACGCUGAUGCGUUGUUGGGUAGGGGAGCGUUCUGUAAGCCUGUGAAGGUGUGCUGUGAGGCAUGCUGGAGGUAUCAGAAGUGCGAAUGCUGACAUAAGUAACGAUAAAGCGGGUGAAAAGCCCGCUCGCCGGAAGACCAAGGGUUCCUGUCCAACGUUAAUCGGGGCAGGGUGAGUCGACCCCUAAGGCGAGGCCGAAAGGCGUAGUCGAUGGGAAACAGGUUAAUAUUCCUGUACUUGGUGUUACUGCGAAGGGGGGACGGAGAAGGCUAUGUUGGCCGGGCGACGGUUGUCCCGGUUUAAGCGUGUAGGCUGGUUUUCCAGGCAAAUCCGGAAAAUCAAGGCUGAGGCGUGAUGACGAGGCACUACGGUGCUGAAGCAACAAAUGCCCUGCUUCCAGGAAAAGCCUCUAAGCAUCAGGUAACAUCAAAUCGUACCCCAAACCGACACAGGUGGUCAGGUAGAGAAUACCAAGGCGCUUGAGAGAACUCGGGUGAAGGAACUAGGCAAAAUGGUGCCGUAACUUCGGGAGAAGG
rnacentral:rRNA from 1 species